rnacentral:tRNA from 1 species
GCCCAAGUGGCGGAACGGUAGACGCAGGGGAUUCAAAAUCCCCCGCCUUCACGGGCGUGUGGGUUCGAAUCCCACCUUGGGCACCA